CUACACCCUUUGAUGAUGAAUUGUCAGAAGAUCAUGCAAGGCAGAAGAUCAAACGAUAUCUCUUGAAGGAGAAGGAAAGAAUUGAGAGCUAGAGGGCAGUUUUGUGAAAUAUUGCUUUUUUCGAAUUGCCUGAAAAUCCACCUCAGGGUCAUGGAAACUCAGCAACUGGAUCCAUCUGCAUCUACCUUACAUUCCAUUUAGUGCAUCUGCAAUGCUGCUAAGAUUUCUUCAGUGGCUCCUUCACAUUUGCCUGCUUAUACAGCUGCAAUCAGUCUAUCUCCCAUUACAUGCAAUCAUCCAUCAAGCUAUACACCAUAGUCAGGUGGCUAAAUCAAACACUUCUGGUCACCUAAUACUUGCACUCAUCUCCAGAUGAAGGGUCUCCACUUGAGAUGCACCUUUUCCAGACCUCACAAGGACUUGAUAGUUAGCGUUCUGAAGGCCGAAGCUGGUUUGUCUGGAGGAGAGUAAGAGCUCCUGCAAGCGCCUGUGUCUCUUUCAUUUCAUCCCAGCAGCACAGCUUCAGAAAGAAGAAGGUGAAAUCUGUCAGCAGACACACACUGAAUUGAUUCUCCAGUCAAUGUCACGCUUCAACAGUCAAGAGAAUCCAGCUCAAAUCCUGCUCCAACCGCUCGUGUCUGACACAGCCACUGAUAGACAACAUGAGCAGAGAGGAGACUGGUGGUAACCAUGCUCUACAAUUAAAUACACUUCAUAUUUUCUUAUAAAUAGACUGAUUUCUGGAAAGAAAUGGUGUUCUCCUGGCUUCUUCUGUUUUCAAUUCAUGGCCUGAUGUGUGCAGCUCACUGGAACUGGCUCAGGACUGAAAACCUGGCGUUUUCUUCAGAGGAUACAUAUUUAUGAAUUUCAUUUUCACACUUUAGGAACGUUUCAGACACAGGAGGACAGACUCUAAAUAACCAAGAAGUCUUUAUAAUAGACUAAAAACAGGAUCAGUUGU